UGCCAUGAGCAGAAGUAGCAGCACCAUAGGUUGUCAAAUAAGUUGGAUUUAACCAAGACAAGUGAGUCCAAUAGGAUGCAGGUAUGUCCUCUAUCCUUACAGCUUCCCGUGGCUGUUGGUUUUAUACCGUUUGGGGACAGCCAAGGAGGCGUCAGCAGGCAACACAGGCCCACCAAAGAACAGCCUUGUCAGAAGCAGCACUGCCAUGAGCAGAAGUAGCAGCACCAUAGGUUGUCAAAUAAGUUGGAUUUAACCAAGACAAGUGAGUCCAAUAGGAUGCAGGUAUGUCCUCUAUCCUUACAGCUUCCCGUGGCUGUUGGUUUUAUACCGUUUGGGGACAGCCAAGGAGGCGUCAGCAGGCAACACAGGCCCACCAAAGAACAGCCUUGUCAGAAGCAGCACUGCCAUGAGCAGAAGUAGCAGCACCAUAGGUUGUCAAAUAAGUUGGAUUUAACCAAGACAAGUGAGUCCAAUAGGAUGCAGGUAUGUCCUCUAUCCUUACAGCUUCCCGUGGCUGUUGGUUUUAUACCAUUUGGGGACAGCCAAGGAGG